UGUUCCAUCCAACAGAUAACUAUGACCA
rnacentral:piRNA from 1 species